rnacentral:rRNA from 1 species
AAUGAACGCUGGCGGCGCGCCUAAUACAUGCAAGUCGAGCGAGAAGACGUAGCAAUACGUUUGUAAAGCGGCGAACGGGUGAGGAAUACAUGGGUAACCUACCCUCGAGUGGGGAAUAACUAGCCGAAAGGUUAGCUAAUACCGCGUACGCUCCUUGGACUUCGGUUCAGGGAGGAAAGCGAUACCGUGGGUAUCGCGCUCUUGGUUGGGCUCAUGUCCUAUCAGCUUGUUGGUGAGGAACGGCUCACCAAGGCUUCGACGGGUAGCUGGUCUGAGAGGACGAUCAGCCACACUGGCACUGCGACACGGGCCAGACUCCUACGGGAGGCAGCAGUAAGGAAUAUUGCGCAAUGGGCGAAAGCCUGACGCAGCGACGCCG